rnacentral:lncRNA from 1 species
GGUGUGCCCCCUCCUGCAUUCAUAUUGCACCUCUACCAUUUACUUUAAACUGGUAUACACCCAUGUAACCAUUUACCUCGGAUUUAUAACUUUCAGAACUUUCCCCCUAGUAAUUUCUCUGUGCCUUUCCGCCUCGUGUGCCAAAGGAGGCCUUUCAGAGCUGAGAGUUCCCCAGGGUGUCUGACUCAGAGGAUCACAGUGACCCCAGGCCUUCUCCCUCCCAGGGCCUCUAGCUACACAUUCCAGCUGGGGAGCCUGCCUGCCCAGCUCCUCCAGCUCCCCAAGCAGUAUCCCCGUCUCCAGCCUCCUUCUCUGUUCCCACACUGACCAGGGGCUCUGCGUGGGGAGGAUGGGAGGUCAGUUCUGCCUGGAGCUGCUGCUGCUGCUGAGGUGUAAGGACCCUGCAGAGGUAAGAAGAUACGGUGUGUACAUUUCAGGCUGUGUGUUUGUGCCUCCUGCCUGAAGUGCAGCAGGACCCAAGCCAAUAAGAUCGUGGAUGGCUUCAUCAGGUAAUAGUCCUGGAGCUGCAACAGGGGAAGGUAGACACAAGCAGGAAAGGGUGAGAAGCAGUCACUUUGGAGGGAUUAACUCAGCUGGUGCUAGCACCCAAGUCUCUUUCAGCUUCAAAGUUCAGAUGGUUCAAAUGACACUUCAGAUGUCUCUGCCUAUUGCUUUAGGAGAAGGUUCAGAGCCUUCAAGCCAGGAUGACUGGGAUGCUAUAUAUCAUUGCUAAGACAUUCAUAUUUUUAUUGAACAUGUAAAGCAAAUCUCAGUAAGGAUCUGCCAUUUCUUCAGCACCUUUCCUUUUGGCUGUCUUUUCAGUAUUUAAAAAUGGAUGCAAUUUGACUUUAGCAAUGCACAUUGGCUUAUAUUGUUAGUGUUGCAUGCAUCUUGGUGGCCUUUGAUUGCAAUAUUUUUCUGAAACAGAGAAAAUGAAUGUAGGAGCGGAUUUGAUGAUGGCAGUGUCACCUGGCUAGUCCGUGGUAGAACCUUUGCUUUUGAGCUUCUCUUUGGGUCUGGAUCAUUGGAUGCCAUAUAAUGAUGAAAAUUCAGGAAAAGGGCAAAUCUUGCCCUUCCCCUCAAUACAAUGGAGGAUGAAGAUUCUAUGACAUUUACAAGCAGAAUGGGUACUGAUGUGAAACCUCAAAAUGUGGUCCUACUAUUGCAUGCAGCAAAGACAGAUAACUGAUGGAGCAAAGCAGAAAGCCUUGGUUUUGCUGCUUGCAACCUCUGGUACAAACCUUGUUUUGUGUGGUUCCAGCUUUUUAUGAUUUCAUAGAAAGACCUAAAAUGUAAAAUAUUCCAAAGGUGUUCACAGAGCUUAGAUACUUGUUAGUUUUAUAUAGCUACAAGUAAAGGUUUCUUUGAAUCCUUCCUAAAGGAACAGAGGGUAUCAUAUUAAACAUUAGCUUAUUUGAUGAAUGUUUUUAACACCAAGAAGGUGAAGCCACAGGCUUUCCUACAGAUU